rnacentral:rRNA from 1 species
GAAAACCAGCAAGUGGGUCCAAAGGAAUUGCAGAAGAACAUCAAAGAUAAGUUCAAGAUAGAUUUACCAUACAUGAGGUUGUUCAAUGGUAAACAACAUGCUAUGGAUUCUAUUUAUGGUAACUGGCAGGAAAGUUUUCAAUUGUUGUAUUCAUUCAAAGGUGAAGUGGAGAGGACAAGCCCAGGUAGUAUUGUAGAUAUUGAUCACCACACCGUGGAGUACACAUUCAGGGGAGUGACAAAGACCAAGGAAUGUUUUAGAAGGGUUUUUGUCUGCUUUGAGGCUUGUCGCCGGGGUUUUUUGGCAGGCUGCAGGCCUUAUUUGGCUAUUGAUGCCACUUUUCUCACAGGAAGGUUUAAAGGACAGUUAGUAGCAGCUUGUGCAGUUGAUGCACAUAGUUUUGUAUUUCCAGUUGCCUAUGGUGUUCUAGAGACAGAGUCUGAGGAGAGCUGGACUUGGUUUUUGCAUAAUCUCCGCCGGGCUAUUGCACAUCCCAAUGGGUUGGUCAUUCAUACAGAUGCCUGCAAAGGUUUAGAAGUGGCCGUGGACAAUGUGUUCCCUGGAGUAGAGCAUAGGGAAUGCAUGCGUCACCUUGCUGCAAAUUUCAUGAAGAAAUUCAAAGGAAAGGUGUAUACCGACAAUUUAUGGCCAGCAUCUUUGACAUGCAGUGUGAAGAAGCACAACUACCACUUGAGGCAGUUAUACAUGAAUCCCAAAGUGAAAGAAUACUUGGAAACACACCACUCCAAGUUAUGGGCUAGAAGCCAAUUCAGUGAAGUGAGCAAAGUUGACUAUGUGCACAAUAAUCUAGCAGAGUCUUUCAACUCAACGAUCCGGAAA